rnacentral:rRNA from 1 species
CUACGGGGUGCUGCAGUCGAGGAAAUUUUACAAUGCUCGAAAGAGUGAUAAAAUGAGCCAGAGUGUUUCUCUUAGAGAAACUUUUAUUUGUUGUAAAAAGACAGAUGAAUAAGGACUGGGCAAGACCGGUGCCAGCCGCCGCGGUAAUACCGGCGGUCCAAGUCGCAUCCACAUUUAUUUGGUCUAAAACAUUCGUAGCUUGUUUUGUGAGUCUCUUGUGAAAUUCUAUAUCUUAAGUAUAGAACUUGCAAGAGAUACUGCAAUACUAGAGACCGGAAGACGCAAGGAGUAUGAUUAAGGUAGCGGUAAAAUGUGUUAAUCUUAAUCAGACUAACAAUAGCGAAGGCACCUUGCGAGUACGGAUCUGACAGUGAGGGAUGAAGGCUAGGGGCGCAAAAGGGAUUAGAUACCCUAGUAGUC